rnacentral:tRNA from 1 species
GGAUUGUGGCUCAGUGGUAAAGUGCUCGCCUAGCAUGCAUGAGGCAUUGGGUUCGAUCCUCAGCACCA